rnacentral:misc_RNA from 1 species
UACGGAGGAUCCAAGCGUUAUCCGGAAUCAUUGGGUUUAAAGGGUCCGUAGGCGGGUUAAUAAGUCAGUGGUGAAAGUCUGCAGCUCAACUGUAGAAUUGCCAUUGAUACUGGUAUUCUUGAGUAUAGUUGAGGUGGGCGGAAUAAGUCAUGUAGCGGUGAAAUGCAUAGAUAUGACUUAGAACACCGAUUGCGAAGGCAGAUCACUAAUAAUGUACUGACGCUGAGGGACGAAAGCGUAGGUAGCGAACAGG